AUGAACGCUGGCGGCGUGCCUAAUACAUGCAAGUCGAGCGAACGGACGAGAAGCUUGCUUUUCUGAUGUUAGCGGCGGACGGGUGAGUAACACGUGGAUAACUUACCUAUAAGACUGGGAUAACUUCGGGAAACCGGAGCUAAUACCGGAUAAUAUUUUGAACCGCAUGGUUCAAAAGUGAAAGACGGUCUUGCUGUCACUUAUAGAUGGAUCCGCGCUGCAUUAGCUAGUUGGUAAGGUAACGGCUUACCAAGGCAACGAUGCAUAGCCGACCUGAGAGGGUGAUCGGCCACACUGGAACUGAGACACGGUCCAGACUCCUACGGGAGGCAGCAGUAGGGAAUCUUCCGCAAUGGGCGAAAGCCUGACGGAGCAACGCCGCGUGAGUGAUGAAGGUCUUCGGAUCGUAAAACUCUGUUAUUAGGGAAGAACAUAUGUGUAAGUAACUGUGCACAUCUUGACGGUACCUAAUCAGAAAGCCACGGCUAACUACGUG
rnacentral:rRNA from 1 species